GACGAACGCUGGCGGCGUGCUUAACACAUGCAAGUCGAACGGAAAGGCCUCUUCUUGGGGGGGCGAGCGGCGGACGAGUGGGUAACAAAUAGGUGACCAACCUUCCCUUCUUUUAGGGGCAUGUUAAGGAAAUUGGGCUAACGGCGGUGAAGGUGCCCCGCCUGGGGGUUGGGGGUGGGAUGUUUCGGUUGGGGGUGGACUGGCGGCUGGUCAGCUUGUUGGUGGGGGGGUGGCUUACCAAGGAGGCGAUGGGUAGCCGGCCGGAGAGGGUGGCCGGCCGCAUUGGGACUGAGAUACGGCCCAGACUCCUACGGGAGGCAGCAGUGGGGAAUAUUGCACAAUGGGCGGGAGCCUGAUGCAGCAACGCCGCGUGCGGGAUGACGGCCUUCGGGUUGUAAACCGCUUUCGCCUGUGACGAAGCGUGAGUGACGGUAAUGGGUAAAGAAGCACCGGCUAACUACGUG
rnacentral:rRNA from 1 species